UCUCCUACGGGCGGCUGCAGUCGAGAAUCUUCCGCAAUGGGCGAAAGCCUGACGGAGCGACGCCGCGUGCGGGAUGAAGGCCCUUGGGUUGUAAACCGCUGUCAGGGGGGAUGAAGGCCGCAAGGCUUGACAGAGCCCCAGAGGAAGCACGGGCUAAGUUCGUGCCAGCAGCCGCGGUAAGACGAACUGUGCGAACGUUAUUCGGAAUCACUGGGCUUACAGGGUGCGUAGGCGGCCUGUUAAGUAGGGUGUGAAAUCCCCCGGCCCAACCGGGGAAUUGCGCUCUAAACUAGCAGGCUUGAGUGAGCGAGGGGUGCACGGAACUUCCAGUGGAGCGGUGAAAUGUGUUGAUAUUGGAAGGAACACCGGAGGCGAAAGCGGUGCACUGGGGCUUAACUGACGCUGAGGCACGAAAGCCAGGGUAGCGAACGGGAUUAGAUACCCUGGUAGUC
rnacentral:rRNA from 1 species